CGUGGCUCAUCGGGCAGUUUUUUUUUUCAGGCAUAUUUCUAGAUUGGCUCAACGCGUGCAGUCUGCUGUCUACCUUCCUCGCUAGAUUUUACUUCUUGACCUCGCGGCUUUGGCGAUUUUUUUCUGGACUGGGUCACAAGUGUGGAGAAGGACAUUUUGCAAGAGAGUGUCCACAAGCUGGUGGGGACGGUGGUAGUGAUCCGUUGACAUCGUAAAUAUGGGGAAGGGGGACAUUUCUCGAAGGAUUGUCCACAUGAGGGCCGCGACGAUGGUGGAAGUCGUACUUGUCAUUAUGUUCCAGUGUUCAUUGUUUUACCCCUAGUGUCAUGAACCUGGCCACACCUCGAAAGGCUGCUGGAAUCCAUUCAGUGAAUUGACGGAAAAUGGAAAGCCACAUGAGCAAUACAUUCUGGAAGUUGUGCAUAUGAUGAAAAGGAAUUGGUUAAGGGCAUCGUCUGUGGGGAACGCUUUAACAAUUUUGAUAGUCAUCCUCCAGGUUACAGGAAAAGAUGUACCACAAUACAUAACACAUUCAAAGAAGCCGUCCUGCGCCAAUUACUACUUCAAAACAUUAAAAAUUCUGGCUACAUAAAACCAACACCUGUUCAGAAAGCUUCAGUUGCAGUUGUUCUUGCCAAAAGAGAUUUCAUUGCUUGUGCUGUCAGGGGCUCCGGCAAAACGGCGUCGUACUCGGUACCGGAUUUGAACAUAUUGUUAGAACAAGGGGUUGCUGGUGCGUCUCAUGCCAUGGGCAAAAGCCAGAAGUUGUAAUUGUCGCACCCACUCGUGAAUUGGCCAUUCAAAUUCAUCGCGAGACGUGUAAAUUCUCCUACAGUUCGGUUUUAAAAUCUGUGAUUAUAUAUGGAGGAACUGUGACGAGCCAUCAGCGGUCAAAUCUUAAAGCUGUGUGCAAUAUUCUUGUCGCGACCGCGGGCGAUUCAACGGUUUUCUCGACCGUGGAGUAUUUGACUUAUCGGGGGUCAGGUUUUAAAUUUUGGACGAAGCUGAUCGAAUGCUUGAUAUGGGUUUCGGCCCCAAUGUUGAAAAAAUUAUCAACUAUCCAACGAUGCAUCCGAAAGGAAUCCGUCGUGUUUGUAUGUUUUCGGAUGCAUUCCCAGAUGAAGUGCAAGAGCUGGCUGCGACGUACAUGGAAGACUACAUAUUCGUCACAACAGGCAUAGUCGAUGGCACCAAUCCGGGUGUUGAGCAGCUGUUUUUUCAGUGCUCGAAAAGAGAUAAGAGAGCUAAGCUGAUCGAAGUUUUACAAGAUCUCGGUUGUGCCAAGACUAUCCUUUUUGUCAACAGCAAAAAGACCGCGGAUUUCGUCGCUGCAUUCUCGUACAAUAACAACUUACAAUCUACCAGCAUCCAUGGUGAGUGUAAACGAAAAUCGUAAAUGUCUCUUCUGAAGCUUCUGACAGAAGAAUAUGCUCGCAAUCAACUCACGAAUCAUG